GAUGAACGCUGGCGGCGUGCCUAAUACAUGCAAGUCGUGCGAAUGGAUUAAGAGCUUGCUCUUAUGAAGUUAGCGGCGGACGGGUGAGUAACACGUGGGUAACCUGCCCAUAAGACUGGGAUAACUCCGGGAAACCGGGGCUAAUACCGGAUAACAUUUUGAACCGCAUGGUUCGAAAUUGAAAGGCGGCUUCGGCUGUCACUUAUGGAUGGACCCGCGUCGCAUUAGCUAGUUGGUGAGGUAACGGCUCACCAAGGCAACGAUGCGUAGACGACCUGAGAGGGUGAUCGGCCACACUGGGACUGAGACACGGCCCAGACUCCUACGGGAGGCAGCAGUAGGGAAUCUUCCGCAAGGGACGAAAGUCUGACGGAGCAACGCCGCGUGAGUGAUGAAGGCUUUCGGGUCGUAAAACUCUGUUGUUAGGGAAGAACAAGUGCUAGUUGAAUAAGCUGGCACCUUGACGGUACCUAACCAGAAAGCCACGGCUAACUACGUGCCAGCCGCCGUAAUAC
rnacentral:rRNA from 1 species